rnacentral:rRNA from 1 species
CGCAUCUGUGCAUGCAGCAUAUCAAUAAGCGGAGGAAAAGAAACUAACAAGGAUUCCCUUAGUAACGGCGAGUGAAGCGGGAAGAGCUCAAAUUUGAAAUCCUUCAAGGUUUUACCUUGACGAAUUGUAGUUUAAAGAAGUGUUUUCUGCUGAAGUUUUGGUAAAAGUUCUUUGGAAUAGGACAUCAUAGAGGGUGAGAAUCCCGUAUUUGACCAUUAUUUUCAGCUUUGUGACUACACUUUCAAAGAGUCGGAUUGUUUGGGAAUGCAGUCCAAAAUGGGUGGUAAAUUUCAUCUAAAGCUAAAUAUUGGCGAGAGACCGAUAGCGAACAAGUACCGUGAGGGAAAGAUGAAAAGAACUUUGAAAAGAGAGUUAAACAGUACGUGAAAUUGUCAAAAGGGAAGCGUUUGACACCAGUGUUGUUUUCUCGAAAAUCAAUUAAAAAUGGCUCGAUUUUGUAUUGCUGAGACCUUAAAAGCUCACUGUACAUUUUUCGUGUCUUUUUUAAUGCACUUUUCGUUUAACAAGUCAACAUCAGUUUCUUUUGUUGUAAAAGGGUCAUUGGAAGGUGGCUUUCUUUUCGGAGAAAGUGUUUAUAGCCUUUGGCCUCUGCAAUCGAAGAGACUGAGGUCUGCAGCGUAGACUCUUCGGGGUUAGAUACAUUUGUGCUAAGUUAUAGCUUUUUAUAGACAACUUGUUGACUAUAAUUAGUCUUGUAGCUUACUCGCUUAUGCUAUUUUACCUACGCUUAGGAUGUUGAUAGUCACAGCGUGUAC